AUACGGAGGGGACAAGCGUUAUUCGGAAUCACUGGGCGUAAAGGACGCGUAGGCGGGUUUGUAAGUCAGGUGUGAAAUCCUACAGCUCAACUGUAGAACUGCACUUGAAACUACAGACCUAGAGUAUGGAAGGGGCAGAUGGAAUUAGUGGUGUAGGGGUAAAAUCCGUAGAUAUCACUAGGAAUACCGAAAGCGAAGGCGAUCUGCUGGGACAUUACUGACGCUGAGGCGUGAAAGCGUGGGGAGCAAACAGGAUUAGAAACCCCGGUAGUCC
rnacentral:rRNA from 1 species